AUGCAGGAAUCUUAGCCUCAUGAGAAAUUAGAGAUGAAAAUGAGUGGGAAAAGAUUAAUCGAGGACACAAUAGUAUUAUUCCAGGAAGUGCUAGUUCUUCCUAGAUUCCGGUUACAAUGUUCUUAACGCGUGGAAAUUAGUCUUGACCAGGAAACAUCUAUAACGGCAUGUAUUUUCUGCCGUGAUUGUAAAUCUGUUUGGAACAUGCGGUUUGUCCGUUAAUCUAGGCGCUGUUGUUCAAUUGAGUCAAUAUUAUUUGUUGGUAGAUUAGUGUGUGCAAGAGCGCUCUAUCCAUUAUUGACCAAUUCGAGCACGUAUUGGUAAAUUUCACACCGGCAAUUACGGUGAAAUCGUUCGUGGUCGCUGGAAAUUGGCAGUAUCGUUUGCGGUCGUGAGCUGAUUGACACUGCGUGAGCGGGGAAUUAUGUGAAGCAGCUUUGCUUUGUCGUUUCAUGCAUUUAAUAGGUUUACGGCGGUGGACAGAGUUUGUAAAAAAUGAAGACAAGGAGUAACAAGUACCUGCAAAAAUCAUCCAUCAGCCGGAUAUGUGCUGUCGGAGGGUUUUUCAUUAGCAUUCCCGUCUUUCUAACUGGUAUGAUAUUGUAUACAUUCAUCCAGUU